rnacentral:lncRNA from 1 species
GUUAUCUGCUCCUUGCAGUAGGGCUUGAGUGAGUCACUGCCUUUUCAGGGAUCAUGUCUCAAGAUCAGUCUGAAGUGAGUGACCCUAUGCACCUGAAGAGCUUUACUGCUCCUCACAGCACAAACAGUAACACUGUAUGGAGGACGGAGACUCAACAAGACAAUGUUGUAGGGAUUGCGUGCUUCUUGGAAAGGGGAAAUUCCCGACGAUCUUAUAGUCUAUGUGGAGCAUAUAAAGGCAAAGCACACUUCCUCUGUCACAAACACAUUCAACCGAACACUCUCACAAGAGAAACAACGAUUUAACCAACUCUAUAACUCCAGAGAGGGAACUGAACUAAACGACUGAACGAUGGAAUGCCAUGAACACUACAUUUUGCCUUCGGAGUAAGUAUCGCUUGUUUUUAUAUAUAUAUAUAUAUAUAUAUAUUAUAUAAAUCAA